AUGAGCAUGGAGGCUGCCAUCUCCGCCGAUGAUGUCAUGCACGCCGGCGGCUUGGGCGCCAAAGACGACAUCGGCAGCCUCCUACCAACGGCGAUGGACUCCACCGACUUCGAGGCCUCGUUGCGGGACGCCCGCGACUAUGAAGGCGAGAAGGAGCAACCGGCGCCCUGGGCUGGGUUACAGGGCAUCAGAAGCUCGGGAAUCAAGCCGUCGGACGCGCCGCAGCAGUGA
rnacentral:rRNA from 1 species